rnacentral:rRNA from 1 species
GUGUCAGCAGCCGCGGUAAGACAGAGGGUGCAAACGUUGUUCGGAAUUACUGGGCGUAAAGCGCGUGUAGGCGGUCAGGCAAGUCGGAUGUGAAAUCCCGUGGCUCAACUACGGAAGUGCACCCGAAACUGCUUGACUUGAGUCCCGGAGAGGAAGGCGGAAUGCUUGGUGUAGAGGUGAAAUUCGUAGAUAUCAAGCGGAACACCGGUGGCGAAGGCGGCCUUCUGGACGAGGACUGACGCUGAGACGCGAAAGCGUGGGGAGCAAACAGGAUUAGAAACCCUCGUAGUCC